UGAGCAACCUGCCCCCUACUUCGGGAUAAGCCUGGGAAACUGGGUCUAAUACCGGAUAUGACUCCUCAUCGCAUGGUGGGGGGUGGAAAGCUUUUUGUGGUUUUGGAUGGACUCGCGGCCUAUCAGCUUGUUGGUGAGGUAACGGCUCACCAAGGCUUCGACGGGUAGCCGGCCUGAGAGGGCGACCGGCCACACUGGGACUGAGAUACGGCCCAGACCUCCGUAACGGGGAGGCAG
rnacentral:rRNA from 1 species